GAUGAGCGCUGGCGGCGUGCCUAAUACAUGCAAGUCGAGCGAACAGACGAGGAGCUUGCUCCUCUGACGUUAGCGGCGGACGGGUGAGUAACACGUGGAUAACCUACCUAUAAGACUGGGAUAACUUCGGGAAACCGGAGCUAAUACCGGAUAACAUGUUGAACCGCAUGGUUCAACAGUGAAAGACGGUCUUGCUGUCACUUAUAGAUGGAUCCGCGCCGCAUUAGCUAGUUGGUAAGGUAACGGCUUACCAAGGCAACGAUGCGUAGCCGACCUGAGAGGGUGAUCGGCCACACUGGAACUGAGACACGGUCCAGACUCCUACGGGAGGCAGCAGUAGGGAAUCUUCCGCAAUGGGCGAAAGCCUGACGGAGCAACGCCGCGUGAGUGAUGAAGGUCUUCGGAUCGUAAAACUCUGUUAUUAGGGAAGAACAAAUGUGUAAGUAACUAUGCACGUCUUGACGGUACCUAAUCAGAAAGCCACGGCUAACUACGUG
rnacentral:rRNA from 1 species